rnacentral:lncRNA from 1 species
UAAUAAUAAUAAUAGACUACUGAAUGGUUAGAGAGAGAGAUAUAAUGAAGAUCACCCACCAUCACCAUAAUAACUAUCUGCAACUUCAUCUUCUUUCUCUAUAAACACCACCACCAUCACCACAAUAAUCCACCACCACACACCACCUCCGUCAUCACCAUCAGAGCCGCCGCCACCAUCCAACUGCCGAAAACACCACCAACAUUAAAACCCCAACACCACCAUCCCACUGCCGCCACCUCUGAACACCCAACCAUCCUCUCGCCGCUACUCCACCGUGAAGAUUUGUAGCUUAAACCUACACCACCGCCGCCUUACUACUGCAGAUUUGAAGCUUAAACCUACCCCACCAUCCCCUCGCCGGCGGCAGCUUCUUCAACUCAUAUAACAGUAAAUGAAGCACUUGAUCUGCUCGUUGAUGAGCUUUAGACAUUAUCGCGAUGAUUUGGGAAUUUGGGGACAUAAGUAGCAGGUUACAUGUUUAUGUGGUGUAGUGGCGGGGAUGGUGGUGGUGCGGUGGCGGGAUGGUGGUGCAGUUGUAGGUCACUAAAUCUUUAUAUGGGGCUAUGUUGAAUAGAAGUUCGGAGUGAUCAAGGUUGUUGGACUUAAUAGGGGCGGAGAUUAUGGCGUUCCAAGUGAAGAUGUUUCGGUCAGGCCUUUCGUCGAACAGCUUGCAGGCGUCUUUGAUGAGGCCAUGCUUGGAGUAUAAGUGUAUGAGCUGGUUGUAUGCGAAUAUUGUUGGGUUAUUGCCGGAUUUUAUGGCGUAACAGUGAGAUUUGAGACUGUUGAUUAUUAUUAUUAUGGGUUUAUUGAUCCAUUUGGUGAACAUGAUGUUAUGAUUUUUAAAUAAUAAUAAUAAUAAUAAUAAUAAUAAUAAUAAUAAUAUAUUCUUUUUCUU